CAGGCAGUCUUCUGAAUCCUACCACUAUAGAUGUUUUACCUUUAUUUAACAUAAAUGGGGUCACAGAGUGUGGACUCGCACAGCAUAGGUGACAUUCAUCUAUGUCUAUCGAUAUGUCCAUCAACAGCUCACUCCUGUUUAUUGUUUUAUAUUAUCCCAUUGUACACCUAUCACGGAUUGUUUACCUGUGGGUGGACAAUGGAGUUGUUUCUGAUGUCUUGGCUAUUGUGAAUAGAUCUUGUGAACGCUAAUUUUGUUUUUUUAACAACGUCACUGGCACAGGUUAAGUACCCAUCAUGUGGGCAUGGCCUGUGUAUUUCUUGCCUGGAGCACACUCCCGAGAGCUGUGCAGUAGUCCAUCCUAUAAUUUUUGCCACUAUUGUUGGACAGGUAGUUUCUUUAAAGCUUUUGCUACUGUAAAUAAUGCUGCUGGGGGAAUUCCCUGGUGGUCCAGUGAUUAGGACUCCGAGCUUCCACUGCAGGGGGCAUGGGUUCAACCCCUGGUGGGGGAACGAAGAUCCCUCAAGCCGAGAGGUGCGGGGAAAAAAAAAAAAAAAUGCCGCUGGAACAUCUUUAUAGUGACUGUUACAUGUGUGGCUAUGCUGCUUUCCUGAAGAUAAAUUCCCAGAAGCAGGAGUGUCAGGUCAAAUGGUGUCCAUGUUUUUAAGGCCCUUUGCCACACAAGGUCAGGACUUUUAGGCACGUUCAUAUCCAUUUCCCCCCCAUUUACUUCUCAUAUUAAGGACAGGCAUCACUAUCCCCAUUGUUCAGAUGGGAAAACUGAGGACUGGAGAGAUGAAAUGAUCAGCCAGAGGCCAUGGAGCUGCUUAAGUACAGAGCUGGGAGGAAACCCCAAUCUCUGAGCCCUGUACUCUUCCAGGACCACUUCCUGCCUCACUCUCACGCAUCUGCCUGUGUCAGAAAUGCUUGGAAUUUUCCCACAAAGAUUUCCAUGAAAAUCAAAUUGUGAGCUGAGAGAUGAAAGGCAGCCUCGUGUUAAUUAGUCUGGCUUUGGUCUGGUUCGUCCACCGAGCCUGGCUGUGUGUGACUAUCUCCAUUUUCAUACACCCGCACGUUGGCACUCUCACACCCACCAACACCGGUGGUGGCCAGUCCAGACGAUGGGUCUAGCUUCUCCUUCCAAACUGCCUUCGGAGCUGGGAGCCACAGGUUUCCUGACUUUGCAGUCGUGGCACAUUCUGGCACUGGACAGGGGGCCCUGGCUUGGCUUCCGUACAUCUUCUCGGCCAACUUGGCCCAAAGGACAUCUGGUUAUUUCCCAAAAUCAAAUCUCCCCUGAGGACAAAGAUCAGGCUGCUGGGGUGAUUCGAAAGAAUGAUCCGUUCCUGAGAUGACUGCUUCCAAAGAGGUGUCGCAGCUAGUCUGGGGGUAGCUGAGCCCUGGCGCUCAUCCAGUGCCCGGAGGAUGUGGAGGUGCUCUGUGAAGUACGGGAAUCCUGGGUAUUUGCAGAGGGUUCUCAGGCCACUCUGGGGGUUGUGGAAACAGCUCACCAUCAAAACUGAGACAUAGCUUGACUUCUUUCACUUAUUAAUUGGUUUUGUGUCUGACAGGGCUAUACUCAUUAUCUUAUUGAAUCCUCAACAACCAAAUAUUAUCCCUAUUUUACAGAUGAGAAAACUAAGGCUCAGAGAGGUUAAGAAAUUUGUUUGAGGUCACAUAGCAGUCCGUACUCAGUCUCAGUGUGCCUACUCUUUGCAGACAUCAGGCCCCAGUCUCUCUUCUGAGUUAGAGAGGUCUCUGCCCCUGUGUGCGGCUAGUAGGCCCCAAGAAACGCAUGUUCAUCUGAAGAACCCAAGCAGAACCCAAGAUGAUUCUCGAGUGCUUGGAAGAUACAAACGGUCCAGACUCCUCCUCCCCCCACCGCAAUCCUGGUCAGGUUCCUGAGGGGCUUCCUUCCUGAGACCGCACCCUAGGCCGACCCCAUUGCUGAGUGGAUCCAUUAACACCCCUUUUAAGAAUGUGGGUGUUGUGCCGAGUUGGGGCAAAAAAUAAUCACCUCCUGUCAGCCCUGGGUCUGAGGCCUCCCUGCUCUUGAAGCAAGGAGGCCUAAGAAGGCCUUUGUCCACGGGAGAAGAAACCAGGAAAGGAAGAGACCAUUCUCUCAGAAAACAUGUGUUUUCUGUUUACAGAGGGGCCUGUCCAGUUCCCAUGCUUUGUUCUUUAAUAUGGAGCCAAAAAAAAAAAAAAAUCAAAUGUGCAGCUUCCUCUCUGAGGUACAUUUGGAGGCUGGAAAAUCUGGAUUGCUGCGGGCGCGUUGUGUUGGGCUUCGAGCUGGCCCGGGCUGGGGCCUCAUGUCCUAUCUGCUGCCAAUGUCCAGCAUCACGUGGCCUUCGUAUACCAACCCAGAAGGCCACGCGGAAAACAAAAUGGCCCCUCGGUGUCUCCCAGGAACCCGGUGGGUGCAGACGCGAGAGGCAGGCAGCCUUGGUGUAGCUGGGGGUUUGGCUUCUUCAACACUGAGUCUGUAUGUGCGUGUGAAUAUCCUGGAGCGCCCUCACUCACACUUCCUGAACUUGCGCCACUGGCAUGGCUGACCUGGUCCAACAAACCCACCAUCCUGGAACCACCUGAUUUUUCACACCCUCUUCUCAGCUGCUGGACAGAGCGUGUCCUCCCCGAUACCUGAGGCAAAGAGACCCCGUGUAACAGGUACUCCUAGGAGAAGAAUUGUCACUUCACAGAGGAUUUGCUUUUUAAAGGCUCUUGAAUAUAUUGCCAGUUGGCCCUCCAGGAAGGAUGAACAGGUUAUUCUAGCACCAGGAGCACGUGAGUAUUUGUGGGCGUGUAUUUUACGUAGAGAUAUCUUAGUUCUACCUGGCGGGGGAUCUGUCACAGCAGGAACAUCACAGCUCCAGGAGUGGGGAAUCACUGUGAACCCCUGUCUCUUGCUUUUGCUGAACAAUCCCUAGGAGUCAGCCUCUGGGGAACCGGGCUCUGAGCACUGCUGGGGCAGCGGCCCUGAACCCAUGGCACCUGCAAGGUUAGACUCCUACUUGCCCCUAGAGGCCACUGAGUACUUUUCACUGCUGGCUUGCUGGCGCUGUCAGGACCACCUGGACCCAGGUGUGGGGUGUGGGAGGGGCUCCAACUCCCCAGCUGGCUCACCUGGCUCUUCACUGCGGCUCGGAAGAUGGCAUCCUCCACUGUAGGGCCGACAGUCCUGGACACAUGCCUGGUAUGAAGCAGGACUCCUGUACUAAGUGGUCACCACCAGGAAACCGGACCCCCAGCCCUGCAGCCUCCCUCCAUCAGGCCCCCAUCACGGCAGCACAGGGUGUCUUGUACAACCCUUGGGUGGUCACUGCUGUCAGCCCAGUCGUGCCAGGGCUCAGCCCAAGACCCACGGCUGGCCUGGGGCAUGCCCUCCACAUCUGUCCACCCCAGUUACAAGCAAGGCCACCUGGGACACUAGAGAUACAGGUCCUGGCCAUCCUUCCUCCGAGGCCCUGUCAUCAGCCCAUCCUCCCCUCCCCAGGGCCACAACCUUCCCUCAUCUGGACAGUCACCGCUUCACUGCUGCUGCCUGCCAGUGCAGCUGCCAGAGGGGCUCCUCAAACACACAGCUCCUGUCCCCCCUUCUUAAGCAGGUGGUCCCCUGCUUCCCUCUCCCACCCCACCUCCCACCCUUUCCCCAACACCGCCUCCCCCCUUCUCCCGCCAGAGAGAACUGCCUGCCUCUUCUCUCAAGCUGUUCCCUCUGAAAGGGAUGUUCUUCCCACGCAUGUUGCCUUUCCAGCCCCUCCUCCCCUACUCCUACCGUGAAUAACAACAGCAGCUGACUUUAUUGGUUAUUGAGCAUGCACUGCGGACGAGGCGCAGCUCAGCUGCCACCCCCUCCAGGAAGCCUUCUGGGGUGGAUCCCGGGCUAGGACACGCCACUUCAGCAGUGCGUGGGUCUUCUGGCCUUUGGUAACAAGCUCCACAUCCCUGCCUUGGAGCCCCACGAGGCUGUGAGUAUUCAGAGAACAAGGACGUGAGCCUUCGCUGCCCUCAGCGCCCAGCCCAGGGCCUGUCCCAGCUAUCAAGUCACAUCCUGUUUGGGGCAGCAAGUCCAGGACACCACGGUGGGUAAAAGCAAGCAGCCGAGCGCUCAUACGCUGAGCAGCACUGGUCAGAAAUGAAUUCAGACCAUCUAGUUUCAAACACACAACCAUCUGGAAACACGAAAGCGUGAUAUUUGUUCUUGACAGAGGGAUAAAAGGAAAUGGAAAGAAGAUCACGAGUUCACGUCACCUAAGAGAGCAAUGGUUUUUCCAGCGUAACCCUGCUGUGCGACCUUGGGGCAAGAGUUGGCCCUCUCUGGGCCUCAGCCCUCAGUGACCACCCCAGGCCUCCCAGCUCUGAGACUGGGUGCAGGAUUUCUUUCUUACUUUCUUUAUUUUUUUAAAUAAAGUUAUUUAUUUCAUUUAUUUA